rnacentral:lncRNA from 1 species
AUGUUCUUUGUGCUGGAAUUGACCUGGUUGUUAACCUAACUGGAUGAUUUGAUAGAGGCAAGAUAGAACAAUUGAGAUUUCUGACAAAGUUGUCAGGGAAAUAUAAUUGUAAAAUUGAAGAAUGGAACAGGAGCAGAUGGCAAUAAAUACCCAUGCUGAAGCAAUGAAAAUGACAGUUGGAAACCUUGAGAAUUCUGAAUUAAAUGUUUGGAGGAAGGUCAGAACCAGAAGAACUGUGUGGAGUGGCAGCAACUGGAGGAAGCAGAAUGUCCCCGAGCAAGGAAGGAAACACCAUCCUUCAAAAACUAAAAGCUCCUUGAUGAGGCAAGAAAAUGAAGUGUCCCAGAAGAGGAAAUGCAGUAAGUGUUGGGGAUAAAAAGAAGGUUAGAAAGCGAACAAUUUCAGAAGGGAAGAAAUGACCUCUAAAAGGGAAGCUGGGAUGAUAGCAAAGGCAAUGUCAACGUCCUCACAAUUUCACUUAGAUUUUCCUGGCUACUCUGCAGAAGGCAUGAUAAGAUAAAUGCUUAUUGAUUUCAAGAUCAAGGCAA